rnacentral:tRNA from 1 species
GCGGGAAUGGCGAAAUUGGCAGACGCACCAGACUUAGGAUCUGGCGCCGCAAGGCGUGGAGGUUCAACUCCUCUUUCCCGCACCA